rnacentral:rRNA from 1 species
ACUCCUACGGGAGGCAGCAGUGGGGAAUUUUGGACAAUGGGCGAAAGCCUGAUCCAGCAAUGCCGCGUGAGUGAAGAAGGCCUUCGGGUUGUAAAGCUCUUUUGUCAGGGAAGAAACGGUGAGAGCUAAUAUCUUUUGCUAAUGACGGUACCUGAAGAAUAAGCACCGGCUAACUACGUGCCAGCAGCCGCGGUAAUACGUAGGGUGCAAGCGUUAAUCGGAAUUACUGGGCGUAAAGCGUGCGCAGGCGGUUUUGUAAGUCUGAUGUGAAAUCCCCGGGCUCAACCUGGGAAUUGCAUUGGAGACUGCAAGGCUAGAAUCUGGCAGAGGGGGGUAGAAUUCCACGUGUAGCAGUGAAAUGCGUAGAUAUGUGGAGGAACACCGAUGGCGAAGGCAGCCCCCUGGGUCAAGAUUGACGCUCAUGCACGAAAGCGUGGGGAGCAAACAGGAUUAGAUACCCGUGUAGUCCCA